AGCCUUGCGCAGUGGCAGUAUCAUAGCCAAUGAGGUUUAUUCGAGGCAGAUUAUUGCUAAUUGAAAAUGAAAACACAACUCUUCAAAACCUUGGGAUACAGCAGAGGUGG
rnacentral:snRNA from 1 species